rnacentral:misc_RNA from 1 species
UCUCUCUCUCUCUCUCUCAUAGGCCAAAGCCAAGUCCCAUCAUAUUUGCAGGGCAGAUUUUUAAAAGUUUUCCUGAUUAGCUAGCUGGAUCAAGAUCAACGCUGAUAAGAAAAAAAAUGUUUUACUCCAUUGUGUUAUGCCCUUUGCGAAGUCUAUAUUAAAAAAAUUGGCUAAGCAAAUCACAAGAUAUCCUAAGGGAAAAAGAACUUGUUAAGCAGAGAUGAUCCUAAAGACCAACAUAAGAAUAAUUAAAGUUUAAAUUUUGAAGUUCAUUAUUAACUUUUGGGAUACUGUACUGUUCCUGGUUUUAAAAGGCCAUUAGAAUUGAAAGAACGAAAAAAUAGGAGGUCGAGAGGAGGGCCAUCUGAAUUUGAGAAAUAGAGGAGGGAAAAAGGAAGAACAUGAAAAAUAAUGAGUGUAUUCCGGUCCAAUCAGAUGGUGAGGUUGUGGAAAUAGCCUCACCCAUAUAAAACUUCUUGCAUUAUGGUGCAGCCUAUAAACUUGAUUAUGAUUUCUUUAAGGUGCUCGCG